AUCUUCCUUUGAAAUCAGUCUCUGAUUGUCAGAACUGCAUGAUUCGUUCCUGCAGUGGGAAAGAUCCCAGGGAGCUCUCUUACAAGGAGUUUGUGCCAGGCGGUGAAUUCCCAGGAAACAUGCAGUAAGAUCCACCCAGCCCGAUCUCUUCGUGGACAGAGGAAUCUCAGCAGCACCAACCGCUGCAAUCCUGUGAUUUAAAGAAGCGUUACUACAAACCGGGUGACCAUUCGACACGCCUUCGCUUUCAGACAGAUCGGUGCUUCAGCUUUGUCCAGCUGGACCUUCCCUGAUUGCAGACUCACAGAACCUGACGCUGCUCGCCCAGCCUCAGCCGAACACUCAUUAACUCGGGUUCACCUUUAAGCAGCCGCUGCGGUGCGGAGCUCCGUUCCGGGGGAAGGCCGGGCUUAAGGCCGCCGCUUCCCUGCCCGGCGGGGUUCGACAUGGCCGCCCCCUGCUUCUUGGGAUGGGAUUUCAGCACGCAGCAGCUGAAAGUCAUUGCUAUUGAUGAACAUCUGAGAGUCAUUUAUGAGGAUAAUGUUAAUUUUGAUAAAGACCUUCCAGAAUUUAAGACUCAAGGUGGAGCCCACGUUCACAGUGACCGACUGACAGUCACUUCUCCUGUGCUAAUGUGGGUCAAGGCUCUGGAUAUGAUUUUGGAAAAGAUGAAGUCUUCAGGAUUUAACUUCUCUCAAGUCAGAGCUUUGUCUGGUGCUGGCCAGCAACAUGGAAGUGUAUAUUGGAAGAAAGGAAGCAUCCAAAUCUUAAAGAAUGCAUCACCCGAGCUGCCUUUACAUCAGUCACUGAAGGCUUGUUUUGCUGUCAGUAACAGCCCCAUCUGGAUGGAUUCUAGCACAGCUUCGCAGUGCAGCGCUCUGGAGAAUGCUGUGGGAGGAGCACAGCACUUAGCAAAUAUCACUGGUUCUCGAGCCUAUGAGCGUUUUACAGGAAACCAGAUAGCAAAGAUUUACAACCAGAAUCCUGAGGUCUACGCACAAACUGAGAGGAUCUCUUUAGUUAGCAGUUUUGCAGCUUCCCUUUUCCUAGGAGCUUAUGCACCCAUUGAUUACAGUGAUGGUUCUGGUAUGAAUCUGCUGCAAAUUUGGGAAAAAGUGUGGUCGGCAUCCUGCCUUGAUGCUUGUGCACCAGGGUUAGUGGAGAAACUGGGAAACCCUGUGCCAUCCCAUUCAGUUCUGGGAUCCAUUUCUCCAUAUUAUGUUCAGCGUUAUGAGUUUAGCCCAGACUGUAAAAUAGUAGCCUUUACAGGAGACAAUCCAGCAUCGUUGGCAGGGAUGAGGCUUCAAGAAGGAGAUAUUGCAAUUAGCCUUGGCACAAGUGACACAUUGUUUCUGUGGAUCCAGGAGCCAACUCCAGCCUUAGAAGGUCAUAUCCUCUGCAAUCCUGUUGAUUCUCAAACAUACAUGGCACUUUUAUGUUUUAAGAACGGCUCUCUGAUGAGAGAGAGGAUCCGAAACGAGUGUGCUUCAGGCUCCUGGGAUGAAUUCUCCAAAGCCUUAUCAUCUACUGCUGCUGGAAACAACGGGAACUUGGGUUUCUACUUCGACGUGAUGGAAAUCACUCCUGAAGCGGUUGGGAUUCACAGAUUCAACAGCGACAACCAAAAGGUUUUGAACUUUCCAAAGGAGGUGGAAAUACGAGCCUUGAUUGAAGGGCAGUUCAUGGCCAAGAGGAUUCAUGCUGAAAAGCUGGGGUAUAAAGUCAUGCCCAAAACAAGGAUUUUGGCUACAGGUGGAGCUUCCCAUAAUAAAAAAAUACUGCAGGUCCUGUCUGAUGUGUUCAAUGCUCCAGUGUACACUAUUGAUACCGCCAACUCUGCUUGCUUAGGAAGUGCUUACAGAGCGAUUCAUGGACUUGUAGCUGAGACAAAUGUGCCCUUGGCUGAUGUUGUGAAAUUAGCACCAGAGCCCAGAUUGGCUGUUACACCAACUGCUGGUGCUGAGGAGGUACUCAUCAGCCCUGGGAAAUGUCACUUGUCCUCAGAUCUCAGAUGGAAUUAGAAAAGCCAGAAGUGAGGUGGAGCUGUUGAGAGAGUGAAGGCUAAGAAUAAGGAUUUCUAUAGUGUCGGGAGCUGAGUGACAGAUGCACACUGAUGGAGCACAGUGCAUUGAUUUUUGCUGCUGCAGUACUUUAUGCUCAAAGAAAUACAGCUUUUAAAACGAUGGAGGACCCCUAUUCAGAGAAAACAGAAGGCUCCUCAGCAAUGCUGAUUUUCCAAUGGCAGCCACUCUAAGAAAUUCCUGUUCCCACCUUCCUCAAGCCAUGGCUUUCUGCUCCUGGAUGUCAGCCCUGUUCCUUGAGCUGGGCACACCUGAACCUGCUGUACUUCAGAAGUUGUAUUUUCCCUGGAGGAGCAGUAGAAGCCCAGCCACCACGCAUUCCCUGUGCUACACCAUGCCAGAGGGAUACCAAAACUCAGUGACUGGAGCCAAAUGAUUGUUCCAUGUAUCUGUGCAUCAGUGAUUUGGGGGGUUUGCAGCGCUGGCUGAAACGCGCAGGCCAGCUGCCUGCCGGUGGCAGCAGGAAAACAGGCAGACAAAGCAGAUGGACCCAGCAGGGGUGGAGGAGCGCUGUCUUCAGCGGGCCAUAGGCAUCACUGAAGAGUAAACAGCUCUCCGAAGGGAGCCGGGAGCUAACCCCAAACCCAUCCUCUCCAAAGCACUCAAUCACAGCACAUUAACAAGAGCGCCUGGACUGCUGGGGGAGAGUAAACAAUGAGAGGCCUUGCUGGCGGGAGAGUGGGAAAAGCGCAGCCCCCCUCCAGCUCAUAUUUAUUGUAAGAGGGUGUAAAAAGUGGCUCGUGGCUCAGCAUGCUGUCAGCGAGCCGCGCUCGUUGUCAGUGCUCAUCUCCUUGUAGGAAAGCCGCCCUUUGCCUUCGCGGGUUGAGUGGGAGCCUGCGCGCUGCUGGACACGCAGGGAUGCUCAGCGAGGCUGGGAGGCAGCAGCAGAAGUGAGAGGCGAAACCUUCCCUCCUGCAGGUGAAUGUGCUUCGAUGCUUGCCCUAAACCAGGCAGGGGUAGCAUCGGGGCUACCGCUCCUUCCAACCACAGCCACUCAAGUGAGCCGCCAGUUUGGAUGAGGGAAGCGUGUUGGGGACCCAGCACUACUGUCCAGAGCAGGAGGGGGUGAUCUCCUCCUGUCCACACCAGUGUGACUUCCUUGGUUUGAGAGCAGCUUCUGAUUUAUGCCCAGGGGCUGGAGCCCGCUCACCGGGCGCUGCUCUUUCAUCUGCAACGUUGCAGAGAAAUUUGUUUACAGAGCUCUUGGCGCGCUCACAGAUUCUUUCUCCCCUUCCCCCUUUCCUCCAAAUCAGCUACAGUUUUCCCUCUCCUUUGGCUCCCGCUGCAAAACCGAUUGACCUUUCUGGGCUGUGUCUGACACAUGAACCGUGCAAAAUCCUUUCUUCUCCCCGAGCCCUGUGCUUGCUUGGGAACGUGGCUGCCUGGAGGAGUGCAAACAGGAGCCCUCCAGCAGCCCUUUGCUGCAUUUCUGAGGGCUGCUUUGCUUGUAAUGCUGCGCAUCCUUGAGAGUGGGUGGCUGUGUGUGCUGUGGCUGAGCUCCCCAGUGCUCUUUGCAAACACUGAUGAUAGGAUGAGGAGGAAUGGCCUCAAGUUGUGCCCGGGGAUGUUCAGAUUGGAUACUAGGAAAAACUUUGUUCCAAAAGAGUGGUGCUGCAGUGGCACAGGCUGCCCAGGGAGGUGGUGGGGUCACCGUCCCUGGAGGUGUUCCAAAACCAUGGAGAUGUGGCUCUGAGGGAUAUGAUCAGCAUUGUGGGAUGGGUUGAUGGUUGGACUUUUUCACCCUUUAUUAUUCUACGAUUUCUAUGAUUCUGUGCCAUUGUUGUGUUCCAGCGCUACUGAAUUUCAGCCAGAGUCUGAAAAUUUCUGAUCUAGUUGUUCCCUGCUCCCAGUAGGGUGUAUCCACAUGGAAAUAGCAAAAGGACAUUUUUUUUUCUCAUCAGGAACACUCAGCAGAGCACUUGUAGGGUGCGGAGAGCUGAUCUUACAAGCUCUGUGGUAGUAGCUUUGUGAUUUAACCUGGAAAAAGAGUUGCCUGUGCUUGGCCCAUUGAGCCACGGAAGACAUAACAAGAGCCACCAAUUUGUCAUAAAUAUAGAAUAUAGUUCUUCUUUUUUUUUUUAAAUUAAAUCUAGUGGUUGGCCAACCUGCCCAUGGGGAUUGAAAUUAGAUGAUUUUUUUAAGGACCCCUCCAACCCAAGUCAUUCUGUGAUUCUCUGAUUCUAUGACUGAUACUUUCUACCUCUCUUGAGGGUAAAGAAGCAUGGUGGAAGGGACAAGUGGUCUGGUGGCCUGGCUGAGAUAAUCUCUGCAGCCAUUUCCAAAGGCUUAUAUCAGUCUGCUGUGAAACCAAAACACUCUUUAACCCUUCCUGAGCACAUGUUGAACCCGGGCCUUUGGGCCACUUAUUGACUCAGGCUCAGCUUUGUUGUGUUGCUCAUCUGUGCUGCAAGAGAGGGGUUCAGAAGCAGCUUUCCAUUGGCAGCAGGUGGAAAUUGAGCUGUUCUUCAAUCAUGCCAGUGACUGCUAAAGCUGACCUUAUCCUGUCUGUCUUGUGUUUUAAAAGCUGGAGUUUGAGGCAGGUGAAAACAUACAGGUGUUUUCUUCUUCUUGUCUGAAGUAGCUGUGUUAUAUGCCUUGGUGAAACCUGAGCUUAAUUCACCUUGGCCAUAACAUAUCAGAGGAAAUAUCAACAGUAUAAAUCAUAGCAAACACGAGGAUGGAGCUCUGAGAAAGUGCCGAAGUGGCCAAGAAUACAUUAAUAAUGAAGGCUGCUCUGGCUCAGUUGCAAGACAAAAAGGUCCCAUCUGUACAAAAAGGCAUCAAAUUGCCCCAGAAAAGAAAACCAUGCAAGCUGGGCCUUCUCUGAAACUCAAAACACAGGGAUCCUCUGGGGAAGCCAACCCUGUCUGGGUGGUACUGAGCAAGGGGAGCUCUCCUGGACCAGGCCAUACCCCCGACCCAUUCCCACACUCGUGAAUGUCAGCAGAAGAUUUUCACGAGAUUCAGGGAGAGCAGUGAUGUAACUCAAUGAUGGGAUCUCCCCCCUUUCUCUGGAAAAAAAUAAGUCUUCAAAUCGAGUAAAAUAUAAAAGCGUUUUCUUCGCUUAGGCCUCCUACAAGUGAAUUCCUCUGGUGCCGGUGAUGGGCUCCUAUUCUCCCUGGGAAAUACAUCAAUUUGAUUUUCUCCCUCAAAGGAUUCGUCACUGAAAGACAACACCACCCUCUUCCACCCAGCUUUUCAGUUGCCUCCAGGUGCUUGGGGAAUACCAGUGAAAGGAGCCGCUCCUUGCUUCUUUUCCUUCCCCUUUUAUUUCUCAUGAUUGCUUCCUCUCUGAUCUUUUUUUUUUUUUCCCCUUGAAAGAACACCUUCCUUCCCACCGACUGCACUGCCUGCUGUGGCUCAGCAUGUCCCAACAUCCGUCCUGGCAGCCGUCCCUCCCUUCCUAUCUGAUUCCUCUAUAUUUUCAUUAUUUGUUGAAUAAAAUUACUGAUAGCAGCAACAGAGCCCAAGUGCAUAGACCAUGCUGCAGGGUGGAUGCAGAACUGCACUCUUGAUGUAACUGUAGAAUAAUUCCACAUCUACAGCAGAGAGUGGCAGAGCCCCUGACACUGUUUCUAUGGGACUGCUGGUGAUGGGCAGCUCUCCUUGUGGUGUGAUGCAUAUUCAGGAGCCCCCCGUCUCCCCUGGACACUGAAACAAUUCACUCAGGUGGCUGACAAGAAAUGUGGUGGACUCCAAACAUGCCCUGAUGUUUUCAUCCCUGAUGUUCCCCUUCUGUCUCCCCUAGGGUUUAACCUCUAUGACACCAGUUUUUCUCCCAUGACCAAAUACAUGCUCCUGAAUUUGGGGAGGAUGCAUGUGUUUAUCAGAGUUGAGUGAAAUGCUCUACUUCUUCCUUGCAGGAGGACAGAAGAGGAAAUGGUUUGUUUUGAAGAUGUGCCAUGAUAGGCAAUUCAUGCUUGCUUAUGUUUUCACACAUGCCAGCUUGGAUAACUUGGGUGGAAAACUGAAGUGAAGCAAAGUCCUCAGCCUCUCAUAGCUUUGGCAGCAGUCACCAGUGGCCUCCUAGAGCUGAGGGCACUGAGAGCAACUGAGGGCUGUUGGAGAGCAUCUUGACCCCAACCCAAGGGCUGGAGGUGACUGCUACACUGCUGUUUUAGGGAUCUUGAGUACUCUAAGUGCUUUAUUUCCUAAAGCAAACAAAAAUGCUGCUCCCAUCUGCCCUUCAGAGGCACUCAGGAGGCAUCCGAGUAAGCUCUUAGUUUUGGGAAUGAGUUUGCCUUCUUCCCUGAGAUAUGAUAGCCUGCAACUCAGGAGGAGUUCACGGAGCAUGCCAUAUUCCUGACUGCCCAGGAGCGUUCUAUCAGCCCAUUAUAGGCCUGAUACUGGAUUAAGGACAAAAGCUUUCCAGCCAGCAGUAGGGAUGCAUGAAGUUUCCUCAGUGAAAGACCACAGAACGCUUUGGGGUUGUUGGAAGAUGGGUUUUGUAUGAAGCACAUCCUGCAUCUCAAUGCUGCUUUCCAGAGCUGUUUGCUAGCAAAUUGCCAGGAUUUGAAAUUCAGGUAGGUUGCAGGAUGAAAAAAUACCCUUCCCACAUUGCUAUGACCUUUUUGGUGGUUUAUUUGUUAAAGGCAUUACUGUUCCCCUCGGGAAUGGUGCCUUCCUCUGUUUUAUGCUCUAAGGAUGUGGCUCUUUUCAUGUUUAUCUUUGAUUCAAGCAUUGUAAAGAGCAAUCCCUCGCACUUAUGUGCUUCAUUGUAUUCUGGCCAUGAGAGAUUCUCCCCCACUGUUUGUAGCCUUUUUUCAGUGCAGCUAGUAAAAUAUUUGAACAGGAAAAAAAAAAAAAGAAAGAAAAAAGAAGAAAGAAAAAAAAGAAAGAAAAAGAGACACUAAACAGCUUCCAGCAUUUAGAGGAUAAAAUGAGAUGUAAGGAAAAGGACGACUGUGGUUAAUGCACAGGGCUGGGAGGCCUCAGAUGGACCGUGGCCUCUCUUCGUUUCUCUUCUGACUUCUUCUGUGACUUUGUCUAAGUUGUUUGACCUCCUCCUGCUGUAGCUCUGGGGUGUUAAACACACACCAUGUUUUCUGCUUAGAAAACCCAAGCUUGCUGUCCCCAGAGAGCAGAGCUCAGCACUGCCCAUCCGCUCCCAAUGAGGAACUGUAUGGCCAUGAGCCCUCAUCAUCCUCUGCUCUGUGCCCAGCAAACUCAGGGCUGUCAGCUACCGCUCACACUCCUUGCCCUCCCCUGUGGAUGCAUAUCAGCACGUGAUACAGCCUGGUUUUGCUUCCCUAAUUUUGGAUGACACAUGGAAGCUGAUUUGCACAGGGUGAAUGCAAACCAAUGGCUCAUCCACUGAAAAAUAAUUAAAUUUCAAUGGGUUACAGCAGGCAAGCUGGAAUCCAAGGAUCCUAAGGUUGGUUAUGUUGGGGUGCUUAAGGGGAAACCUCCAGUGGGCAAGGAUCUGUUGUAGUCCAGAUAAGCCUUCACAAUUCAGAGUUUUCUUAAAUUUCUGGGGCGUAAUGGCACAGCUGGCGACAGAGCGCCAAGUGAAUAUUUGACAUAAAUAAACCAAUGUUCCUAUGUGGGAGAAGGGCAGAGGGAGCCUGUGAAUUAAUGAUCAGCUUUUAAUUUGUCCUUUCAUUGGAAUCAAUGAAAAUGUCAGGAUGAUUGAGGUUUAUGUGCUCAUGGGAAAGAUGUGAGCCCGAGAGUAAGAGAUCAGGGCUAUUUUUUAAUAUAUUUGUUUCACUGAGGAAGAUGCUUCCCUUCAUCUCUGAUACCAAAGAAGGAUUUGCUGUGGGUGAAUUCCUGAGAAAGCCUGGGCGGUGUGUAUUGGAACAGGAUGCCCAGGGAGGUGGUGGAGUCACUGUUCCUAGAGAUGCUCAAGAACUGUGGAGAUGUGGCAUAGGGAGGGACGUGGUCAGUGGAAGUGGUGGGAUGGGUUGACAGUUGGACUAGAAGAUCUUAAAGGUCUUUUCCAACCUUUCUGAUUCUAUGAUUCUGUAAUUCAUUCAAGUCUCAGCAGAAACCUGCCACCCUCAAGCUGUGGGCUGCUGGCUAUUCUUGGGCACUGGUUCAGCCUACCUGGUGCUGGUUUUUCUGGCUGCAGGCAUAUCCUGUUUGCUCACCCCAGUGUCAGAUCUGCUGUGGGAGGCACAGGGCUGGGUGCAAUUCCUUGUUGAAAAGGGCAGAUCCUGCUGAUGGAUGUGAAAAACUGGCACUUAUGUCCUGGAGGCAGAACUGGCUUUGGAUCCGGAUGCUGGCUGCUGGAAAUACUGCUGUUUGAUCACCUGAAAUGGGCACCUCCAUCCUUUUUUUCAGCCAAAACAGGGAUUUCUGCAUCAGAGCUUGUCACAGAGCUAUUAGUAAAGUAGUCAAGUGAGUGGGCAUGGGUUUAGCUUCCUAUAGGUGGCAGGGGGAACCUGCAGGGUGAACAGUGGCCUGGAGUGGUGGAUUCAUUUGCACGUUUCCUCUGUCUUGAUGGAGGCUUCAUGCAGCCCCUUGGCACAGAGGAAGUGUCUGCAAACUGCCAGGCACGCUUUGGCCUAAUUAAAUAUUCAUGGUGACAAAAUGUCACAAGCACAGGGGAGUUUUCAGCAACUGCUUCACCCCCGCUAGCAGACACCCUGCUCACUGCAGCAGGGCUCCUGUGAUGCAUUCCCACCCUUCCUCUGCACUCACCUGCUCACCUUGCUCUGCAGCAAAACCAGGGCAAGGAUGAGCUGGGCUUUUGCAUCUCACAUCUGCUUUGUCUCAGGGCAUCAGUCCCCCAGAUACAUUUAUUUUGUCUUUGAGGGACCUGAUAUUGCAGCCAGUGCUCUGCUCUGUGGGUUCUGGAGUUGAGUUGAGGUCUUCUGCAGGUGGAUCACAGCCAGCCUGUGACCUGCAGCUCCUUUCUUCUGCACGUUGGCUCAGGAUGGCUUUUUGUUCCAGAAAUGUUGUCACUCCUGACACUUCCAGACAUGAGCAACGCAACCGCGUUCCUGCCAACAAACACAGCCCUCAACAAGGGCUUCUGUGAUAACAUCAGCUCCUCUGCUGCUGCUUUGUUUUCAGCCUUCUCAUGGAACUGACCUCAUAGUUUCCUAAUUUAGAGCUGGUGACACAGAGUGUGGGGAACGUGCAUGCUCAACACCUGUGGUGACAAGGCCAGCAGGACACCUUCCAGCAACCUGCCCUGAACCAAAGCUGUGUUCCAGUGGCUGCUGAGCUUCCGCAGUGGCCCCAGCAGGCACGGAUUUAACCCAAAUAAGGAUCAAUUAUCACACCAACCUAGAAAUAGAAGGGAAGAAGUGAGAGUUGGGGUCCUGGUUUUCACCUACAUUUCUCAUUUAAGAACAUUUCUCUUUUGAAAUGAUAUGCUUUUUUUGCAGAAUGUGGAAAGCUGUAUUUCCAGCUGAUCCAUCAAGUCAGCCUAAUGCCCAUCCUAUAAUCUCACUGCUCCUCUGCUUUAGGGUACAUGCUAAAAGCCUUACUGUUCUGGAAUAGUUUACUCAGAGUGGCAGUGUCCCACAGAACCCUUAUGUUGUCUUCUUCAUCUCCCCACAACCCUCCCAGCCAUGGGAUCUACAUCCUCUCUGAGCUGCUUGAGCUGUUUAGCUCCUUGUUGUUACUGCUCUUGCUGCUCUUGUUAUUGAGAUGCCCAACCCAGCGUUAAACUUGUAACUUGUAGGGCUGUACCUGCGCAGUGAAUGGCAUGGAUGAGUUACAGAAUCAUAGAAUGGCUUGGAUUGGAAGUGACCUCCAAGAUCAUCCAUUUCCAGCCUCCUGCCAUGGGCAGGGUUGCCAGCCACUAGACAGUGCUUUAUGUAAAACCCUAGGCAACAGAAAUACUCCAGGGAGCUGAUUUUUACUGGCUUUAACUUCCCAGCUGGUUAUUUAGCCGUUCACCAGAAAGUUGUCUCAGUGAAAUGAGAACUCGCCCACAUUCAGGAUAAACUCACGGUUCUUCUACUUUUUUUUUUUAGUUUCGGAAAAUGUCGCGCUGUCUGUGGUGGUGGAUGUGUGUGUGUGUGUUUUAUUUUCUGUGUGUGGCAUCCCUGCAUAUGUCUUGGAUUGCUUCAGAAGCCGUAAUAGGGAAACAAGCUUUUCUGUAUUCAAAAAUAGAAAUGGGAUGAUCAAACAACUCAGACUACGGCUAUGUGCAAUGCUUUGUUUUUUAACCAAUUAUUUAGUAGUUAUCAAUAACAAUAACUAUUAUUACCAUGACACCUUAUGCUCUGGCUUUCCUCAUCAUUCCUUAGAGUUUCUGUAUUUGCAAAACAUUGUGAAAGCCCAUUGCUGUUUGUUUUCUGCCCAAUGAGGAUGUUGUGAAUUCUGCUGCAAUCUGCCUGGAGGUUUUUGGAAGCCAAAGACAGCAGUUUGUGCAGUGCACUGGAAGGCCACAUCCCCACACAGCUCUGGUAUGGGGGAUGCUGCAGUGAGGCACAGAGUUUGCUCUUACGCUGCCUCAGUGGAGAUGUGCAUUUUGUUCAUGCUCAAUUACUGGGGAGUGUCCAUAUGUCCUUUAGGUGAAUAUCAUAGGAAUGCUCUGAAUUUUGGGCGAGGAGAGCUAGUGCUUGCACAUACAGCAUAGUGGGACUGAUUGGCUUGAGCCAAGAGGAACCUGAGACCUAAGGGAUAGUAGUUGGUAGCAGAGUGACACACUGGCACAGGUUGCCCAAGGAGGCUGUGGAUGCCCCAUCCCUGCAGGCAUUCAAGGCCAGGCUGGAUGUGGCUCUGGGCAGCCUGGUCUGCUGGUUGGUGACCCUGCACACAGCAGGGGGGUUGGAACUAGAUGAGCAUUGUGGUCCUUUUCAACCCAGACCGUUCUAUGAUUCUAUGAAGUCCUGCAGGAAAGAAAGCAAUCUGCAUAAACCCAUCUCCUUUUGUGAAUUUAGGGUAGAAAUCAUUCUAGGCAACUGGUUCUGUUGCAACUGCACUAAUAUUUGAGUUGAGAAAGAGGAAAAAAAACACAACUAACUGAAAGUUGUCAGGCUCUGUAUUCUUGGAUGGAGCUUUGCUGAUCUUUCAUGGGGAUUUCCCCCCUUCCCCUGAAUUUGGCACAGUUAGUACAACAGAAGCAAAGAUGAUACAUAUGUUUUAUAACAGUAAUGCGCAUAGUGAGUUUAAAGUCAGUUUAUCAAUGUCUCUCCUCCUUUCCCUCUUUUUCUGUAUUUUCUGUUGUUCUCCUUACAAAUUCUGCAGCCUCAGCUGACAAACUUGAUGUCAUUUUGUUGAGGGAACAGCAAUGACAUUUUCUUUGGACAGGAGAGACAUUCUUGCAUUUCUGGUGUCCAGGAGAAAAUGACAGUCAGAUAGUUUCUCUCCUGCACAUCACUUCUCAAACCCUGGCCGUGCCCAGAAGAGCAUUCACUUAGGAGAAAAUUCACUUUAGGAGGGGAAUUGCCACAGCUAAGCCUUACUACGAGGAGCUGAAUGCAUGGCACACUUGGAUAUAAUGGAGACCCCACGAGAAGAACAAUAGCUUCUGCUCCCCUAUAGGUGUUGGCCACUGCAGUGGAUGUACCAUGGGUCACGAUAGCUGUGUGCAUACACAUUUUGAAGCAUCCAAUACCAAAAAGGUUCAUAGUGCCCUGUAUUUCUAUAGUGGACAAGGUCAUGCAGUUCACAGGCAGAAAGUUCAAUGCUGCAGAGGGGGGGAAGGCAGUCCUAUGCAUAGGUCUUGCUUUAGCAUCUUAAAAGUGAAUGUCAUCCCCAUGAAUACAAUGUCUGUUCAUGAGGUAUAAAUCCAAGAGCGGACCACCUUGGCUUGGCACACUGGAAACUUCUGGGAUGGCAUUAAAAAGGAUACAGCACUGGUUUUGGUUGUUGGCUGUUGCUUGCUCAGUGUUUUCUACUGAAUUUCAUGAAGCCAAGCCGAGUUACAUCUACCAAAACCAAAUGCAUCUAAUUUUUUCCCCUCGCCUCUUACAUUCGGGCUUGAUGUAUUAUGUCUGGAAGCAAACAGUUAGAAUAAGAUGCAUUUGCUAGAUUGUGUCUUUUCAUUAUUGAGACAGAAGGAAAAGGCAGUUGACAAAGUUUCAGCAGACGGUGCAUAGUUGUUGUUUAUGUUAAACAAAACGAGAAUGUGCAGCAUUCGGGUGUAUAAACAGCAUGACAGCAAUAAGCAUAAAACAUAAGAUUGGAAGCAGAUUUUACUUUCAGGCCUUGGGGAGCAGAUGGAUCUGAGAUCAUUGUGCAUUUGCGUGCAACUCCGAGACCUAUAGAAACUCAUUUAUUCCCCAUGUCGAGGCAUUUCACAGGAGUCAAAUGUAGCACGGCUGCAAAUGGAUGCAGCUCCACUGAACAUAAUGGGCUGGACCCAAGCACCUAGAUCCGUCUCUUAAAUUGCUCCAGCAGCACUAAGAGGAUGGAAAGCUGCUUUAGUCUUGCAGUCAGAGAUUGCCUUGUCAUCUUAAUGUUCAGGUGGCAUAAAGAUGAGGCAACUUCUAUUUGCAUCUGCUCUGUGUGCAGGCUGGAGGCAGCCGGGUAGGAAAGGAACUGCAGCCAGUGGAGCUGCAGAGGCUGGCUUCCUCCCCACACAUAAUAUAUAUAUACAUAAAUAUGUACACACAUACACAUGUAUAUGUAUAUAAAAUAUGUAUAUUGAUAUAUGAAGGCUUAUUAAGAAUGGUGAGGCACUGGCACAGGUUUCUCAAAGAUGUGGUGGAUACUCCAUCCUUGGAGACAUUCAAGGUCAGGCUGGACGGGUUUCUGAUGGAGCUGUUGGUGUCCAUGUUCAUUGCAGGGAGGUUGGAAUAGAUGACCCUUGAGAGUCCCUUCCAACUCAAACAAUCCUGUAAUUCUGUGAUUCUAAUUUUUCCUCGUUUGCUCUUUUCUUACCCCAUCCCUGAGUUUGCACCAAGCUGAGCACAGCUGGCAGCAGAGAGGUGGUUCAUGUGAUGGAGUCGCAACCGUUUGUACCUGUGUGCUUCAGGACCGAUGCUGCAGGACAGAACAGCACUCAAGCCCACUCUCUGUACAAUGGUAAAGACAGAGACAUCAUUUCUCAGUUUCAGAGGGCCAACUGGAUCACUUCAAAGGCUGCCCUGAUUCGACACUUGCAGAGGCAGGAGCACACGGAUUGCCCAUUGUGUAUGGCCCCGAUUCCCUGGCAGAUCUGCGUCAUUGAAGUGAAGGACAUAAUGAGGGAUUUCAGUCCCAAGCAGAGACCAUCCAAGCAGGUGGGAAAGCGAUGGGCCAGCAUCCAACCUUCAGAGCACAGACCAAAGAGAAGCUGUUUUAAAUAGCAACAAUGGCUCUAAUCCCCCGGCAGGAUGGAGAGAUGCAGAUUGGUAAAGGCAAGAAAGGGCAGAAAAUAGCAACCGCAGAAAGUGUGUGUAUGUGAGAAUCCCUUUCAGGAUGCAUUAAUGGGAUGCAGUGAAUAGGAAGAAGAGACCCCAGAGCGUGUUUAAAACAGAUUCCUGGUAUAAUAUGAACCCCUGUAAUGAAGUGCUGUACAAAAGAAAUAAUAAAAAUAUAUCACUGUAGUCAGUAGUACUGGCUGUGUUCAGUGUUUAACCGCAUCAGAACCUUUUAUUAACGAAGAGGCAGAAUAAUACAGGCAAACAAGAGGGCAAUUAGAAAGAAGAAUAUUAGGACCACGAUGGGGCCCUGUGAGGUUUCUCCCAUGGCAGCUCCAAGAAAUGAGGGCCCAACGAAGAGAAAAAGCCCACCUGCAAUGCUUGGCUUGGCAAAGCCCCUCCAACAACGGUGUGGGAACGCGCUCACCUCCUCCAUCACAGUUCUCCUGCAGUGAUUCGCCUGCAGCAGCCGCUCGCCUCCGAGUGAGGAGUUUUAAUAAAUGAUCGUCAUGCACAAGCCAUGCAUGUACGCGAGAGAGGAUGGGGACAUGUAUUUUUAAACACAAAAACUCCCACCAGCCGCAGUUUGAACACGGGCUGUAUGAUCUUCAAGAGAAGGAGAAAAAUGUGCUGGUUUCAUCCAGAACUGGAUCAUUUGCUGCAAAUGGUGUGGUUGAUUCAAGAAGAGUUAUGGAAAAUGUCGUCCACAAGGGGCAGUGAUUGUGGGGCAAUGUGAAUUUUAGGAUGGGCUGUUAGAAGCCAUGUCUCAGGAGAGGUGUUUGGCACCUUUUUGGAGAUCAAACCAUCUCCAGAUGCUUCAAGACCAGAGUGUGUCGGCUCCAGCAGUUGAGAGGACUGCUGUCCUAUGUGGAUCUAUAGAUCUAUAUGGGGGGUAUUUUGAUUGGCUGUCUUUGAAUAAUCUGUUGAAUAAUUGAAUAAUAUGUUGAAGACCACUGUCUCCUUGCACAGAAGUAGGUGGUUAAAGCAUUGGUUUCCAGAGCUGGGCUUUGGUUACCCAAAAGCCUCCUUUGGCCUGGCAGUGAUUGAUGCAAGGGUGGGUUGAGCUGUGUUUGGAGUUCUUGAUCACUGAAUCUUUGAGGUGGGUGGGAAAGUAGGGACAGAGGUGAAGAAAUGUAUCCUACAGCAUUUCAGGUGAGCUCCAUGGGAUGGAGGAUGGUGACAGAGUAGGGAAAGUUGUGGGAAGGAGCAGGGAGAUUAUAGAGGACAGAAGAGUCAAGAAAACAUAAGAUAGGUUUACCUUAAAUACUCACCUGAUGCCCUGACCUCUCUUGGUCUCUGGGGACUUGUCACAGCAGUGAGGAGAUGCACAUGCAUGACAAGGGGUAUUAAAGAUGAGUGAUGGAGAAAGCUUUCCCCAUGCCCUCAGCUUGACCUGCUGUUCCCUGUGGCUCUCAUUCCCCUAUGUUUUUGCAUGUCUCACUGAAUACCUGCAUACCUCAGGCUGGCGGCAGAGCCUCAGGCUGGUGAGUAGGACUUUAGCUCAGCUCCCGAAAGCUGCUGGGCCUGCCUGUGUGUCAGAGCAACAUUUUAUCCCAGUGCCCAAAGGGCUGUGUGGAGCUGUAUGCAGCAUUUCCAGUUCUAAGGUUUCCCAAGCCCAGCCAAAUGAAAAGAAAAGGACAACAUUUACCCUGCCUAAUUUCUACCAGGAAGGCUCUUCAUGACAAGUGUGAAUGCAGAAGUCGCUUUGACUCCUGAAUGGAUAAACUCUGGAAUCCAAAGGAUGUUUGAGGACAAAUCUUCAGAGGUUGGCACGUACAUACUGACUGUAAAAUUACUUCACGGAGCCAGGCUGUGCAUGCUAAAUCCAUAUUUGCCUGCGCAAACAAGGUGCUUAUGCAUGCAGUUAGAUGUUUUGCAGACACAAAGGCACAGGCAACUUCAACCCUGGCUUUCACCAUCUUUAUGACUGUAUAAGCAGUACUUUUCCCUGGCCAGGAAUGCUUCACAGGGACCUGUGUUUGCAAGGAAGAACUCAUGUCAUGGUCCCAGAUGGAAAGGCUUAGAUGGAAGCUAAGCUCAAGGCUUAGCUUCAGAUAGACUGUUUUAAUUGGGAUGGUUCCCAAAGCAAUGAAUAAUCAGCCUUGAGUUUUAAAUUACCUCAGAGGAAUGUCUCCUUAGCACACAGUGGGAAGGUGCCUGCAUCACGAAUUCUCACCCCCCAUUUGAUGCUGCAGCUUUGGCUCCUGAUGUCAGCAGGUAAACGCUCAGGGUGCCUGCUAGAAAAUAUUCAAAACCCCAAUUUCUGCCCCAGGGCAAAGCUCAAGGCAGGUGUCUGCAUUGUGAAAUGAUGCUUGGACCUGUGGGCAGCUGCAAACCAUACCAGUACUCCUGACUCUUCUGGCUUUGUUCUUUGCCACGUGCAGUUGGUGGCUUGAGUCCAACAUCUCCAUGGUCUUUUAGUAGCAGCUUGGGGUUGCCUUCAUCCAGCCUGCAUGGAUGGAGCUUAGGGUCCUUGCUCCUCUCCCACUGCCGGAGCCUUCCACAACAGAGCUUAGGUCAACCAAUUCUGGAUGUACCCGUGCUGGGAUAACCUGGACACAGGUGGCGGAGAUGAACCAUCAGGAGUGCACUGGUGAAACAUCGUGGGACAGUGAGCAUUAUAUCUGCAACUGUGAACAGCAGAAUAUCCUUCCACUUCCAGAGAACUUCUUUCUGCAUACAGGGAAUCGUGCUGCAGAAGCAGAUGGUCGUACCUCAGUGUCUAGGAGCAGAGAGAAACUGUGCUACUCUUGGGAAGAUAAUAAAGGGCUAAACAUCACAGGCUUUGAAAAUAAUUGUCUGAGUAAAGCACACUCCUAAUCCUGCCUCUCCCUUGACAUUCUUGCCUCCCUGAAGAUCUUUGUCUCCUGCUCAGCUAUCCGAGAAAACUCGUGUUAGUUAUAAUAGCAGCCUGGGGGAUAGAUAUUACAGCCAGGGCAACAUAAAUAAGGCAUUUAUUUUCAACAAAUGGCAUAGGGUGUCUGAUCUGCCAUGCUCACAUUUGGCAUCAUCAGAAAUUUAAGGCCUGAUAUUCGCUGUCCAGUGCAUCUGUAACAAUGUGGAUUCAUCACAGCCCUAAUUAUAGCACUCGGGUAGCUCAUGUGGGGUAGUGAGAGGUUUAUUUAUAGGUAAUAUUUAUAAACAGAUCAGCUAUCCUCCCAGGGAAAGGGCUCAUAAGGCGAGAUGUGUUAUGGUGAGUGCUCUGAGAAGCAUCACAGCAUCACCAUCGCUGCACGAGCCCUGUCCCCCUCCCAGGCAGCGUCUGCAGCAGGCAGGGUCCCCCAUCCCACCUCUAUCCCAGCUGCCCAUUUGGGUACCCAAACUCAUUUGCUGCACUUCCUGAUGCUUUGUGGGAUGUCUGAAAAUAGCAAUUUCCCAGUGCCACGGAGGGCAUGUGACAAGUGUGCUGCUGUGUCUCAAUAGGCCACAGUGGUGUUUGGCUGCAAUCAUGUGGCUUAAUCACCUGACUGCAUAAAUGAGUUUCCCUUGACAAGAUUCGAUCCCUUCGGGCCCCUUGACUAAUUACCUGCUAUUGUGAGAGGGCCUGCUUGUUGGGAAUCUCAACCCUUGUUCCCCAGCAAGAGCAAAAUAGAGAAAUAAACACAAAAGUCUGGAGAUCAGAGGGUGCUCUUUUACUUUCCACAUUCAGAGCCAUAUAAAGGGUCAUUAAUUAUGUUCCAUUUUCAUGACAGAAUUUACUUUUGAAAACAUUUUUUUCUUGUUUGUUCUUUUUUCAAAACAAAGGUAUCUGUGUUUUCUUUUCCCUUAUCACCCUGUAACAAUGCAGCUGCUUUGCGAGGAGGAACUGUGCAGGAAAACAUCCCUCCCAGCACUGCACAGCUUGAGUUUCAGGGUGCCCUGCAAAGCAGAGGGCAGAGCCCCUGGCCCCUUGUAGAUCCCCUGGAAAGAAAGGGUUUUAGUGCUUUUCCUAACCGUGCAUGCUACAGGCAUCAUUUUCUAUGCAUAUGGGUGGUGAAGAUGUACAAAAAGCAUCUGAAGAGGUAACUGAGUUAUCCACAUGGAGAGCUGGCAUCCGUUUAGAAGAAGCCAUCGAGUCUGUGAUGCACGUGGAGACCUUCACCAUGUUGUGCCACUGUUCAUUUCUGGCACUGUGAAUCUCAAAAUGCAAAGAGGCAGAGCUUUGUAAUCCCACUGAGUGCUGGAGAGGGCACUGAGAUGCUAGUGCUUUCCCUGUAAUGAAAUGGGUGAGGGGAUUUAUAGUAAUUGUAAACUCUAAGAAGCCAAGAUCAGCUCCUCUUCUUCAUUUAUUUUAUUUUAUUUUAUUUUAUUUUAUUUUAUUUUAUUUUAUUUUAUUUUAUUUUAUUUUAUUUCUGAUUAUGCAGAAAACAGACCCAAAUUGUUCUAAAUUAGAUUCCAUUCUGACGUGCUGUCUCACGCCUUUUUGGUGUCAAGCUCAUUUUAGGUAGUGUUAGAAAUCACAAAGAGGAAAAGAGGGGACCUACACCUUUUGUUAGAGCAUCACAGGGCCAUGGCUCACAGCUUGACUGGUGUCAGUCACCCCGUGCCACCCUGCUCCUGCCCUAGGAUGAGCAGAAAGUCUCAUCCUGCCCUGCUUAGGGAGAAGAGGUCUUUUUGUUAUUUCCUGGUAGGAAAAUUCUAUUUAUAACUAAUAGUCCCAUAAGGAAAUGGUCAGGAGCAAAUCAAAGACUCAGGAACAGGUUGAUUUCUAUUCCUGUAUUUCACUGCUCUAAGCUCCACUAAGGACAAUGAAGCUGCCAUAGGCUUAGGCAGCAAAGCUGAAAUCCAGCUGAAAUGGGGCCUUAAUAAUGCACAGUGGGGCACUGAUCUAGAGUUUCAGUCCUGGAUCACUUUGUGCAAUGAAAACUUAGGAGAAGGAUGGCUUUUCACAGGUUCUCUUUGAAGAGACACAUUGGAUUUAUGCAAUAAAAUUGCAGUUUCUUCUCCAUUAUUAUUAUGAGUGGGAAUCUUCCAAAGAAAUUUCCACUCAGAAAACACGCAUUUUUCAAAAGCACACUAUUCCCAGAACAGAUACCCAUCAGUGAAACUUUGGAAGGAUGAGUUUCUUGAGCUACCGAUGCUCCAAAAUAAGAAAAUGAUAUGUGGGUACCAACUCCUGUCAACUAAGCAAUAAUAUAUGUAAAAAACUUGGCUUGGUUGUGCAAGAACUUCAUUUAAGACCCUUCUGUGGGUUGUGAGGUGUCACAGAAUCAUAGAAUCAUUAAGGUUGGAAAGGACCACAGAGAUCACCAAGUCCAACCCACCGCACCGUGCCCACUGAAGAUGUCCCUCAGGGCCACACCUCCACAGUUCUUGAACACCUCCAGGAAUGAUGACUCCAGCUCCUUCCUGUGCCAUGACAUUUCUACUCUUUUGGAGAAGAAACUUUUCCUAAUAUCCAGCCUAGAACAUCUCCAGCAAAGGAGAUUUCACUGUGUCUGCUCAUCAGUGAGUUGCCCUUUGUAAGACUCAUAUCCUGACCAGCUUGCUGCAGUUCUGCUUCCAAACAAUCCACUCUGGGAGAGAGAUUUGUCCUCCACAAAUACUGCUUCACGUCUUAGCAAGAUCAGUUUGCAGCUGCUCUUGAUCCUUGAUGUCCAAUCUAGCGAUGCACACCUGAUCCAAACUAUCAGUAAGGGCUGUGCUCCUUUGGCUGCUGAUCCUCAAUGAGGGUGCACCCCAUUGUUCCACGUGAUGGGGAUCUUUCUGACCUUCAUUUCUUACACCCCUGCAUCCAGGGUACAUCAUGCCAACAUCUCCCCCUUGGUGCCUUCUUAACUGUCUUGGAUGCAUGUUUGAUUUCUUGCUGCCCAAAUUAAUUUCACUGCUUGUAAUGUGUUUCUACUGACUUUAAUGAAGCUCUCCCAAGACUCCUAAUCUUGAUGACCUUUCUAAGAACAAAUACAAGCCGAUGUAUUUCCCCAGGCAGAUUUUCCUAAUUUCUUAUAGCUCUGUUGCCAACACAUUCCCACUUCCAUCUAAUUUCUUUUGGAUACGAUGACUCCUCUCCUAACUCUAGCGAGAGUAAUCAAUAUCAGGAGGAAAAACAACCACUUUGGCUGCUUGCUGGGAAGUAGUUUGUCCUGUUUAAGAAAACUCUGGAGAGAGUCUAUUAGGCACAAACCAGAAGCAUGAGCUGACAACUCACGUCUACUUUUUUCUUCAUGCUGAUGCUUUCAAAGUCUACAUCAGCCACUAGAAUCUCCAUUAGGUUACUUCUCACCUGACCGCUGAGAUUUCUACUGAGCACCAUAAUUCCUUCCCCUUUGUUUUCUCCCCGCUGUGAUGUAAUUAUACUUUUUGCAGCCACAGGAAGUUGAAGCUGGUGAGGUCCUGGCACAAGCUGCCCAGAUAAGUUGUGGAUGACCUAACCCAAGAGGUGUUCGAGGCCAGAUUGGAUGGGGCCCUGGAACCCUGACCUAGUGUCUGAUGUAGUGAUUGGUAACCCUACCCAUAGCAGAGGGUCGGAACUCGACGAUCUUUGAGGACCCUUCCAAUUCAAGCCAUUCUAUGAUUCAAUGAUUCUAUGAAAUCAUUGGGAUAUGAGAAACUGAGGCAUUGGCUGCAGCUCAGGUCUUCAGAGAGAUUCUUCUGUUGAAAGCAGCUUUUAAGAGGCAGUCGAGAUGGCUUGCCAGAGGUGUCCCAGAACAUGUGUAGCAGUGUGAGAACUGAACUCAGGUCUGCUGAAUACCACAGCAGAGCCCUAAGCAGAGGAUUAUCUGUGUUUUUUUUCUCUAACAGUGGAAUAGAGGAAAGGUAGGGAUUUCCAGGAACAAAAAAUCACAUCUUCAAACCUCUUUAAAGGCCAUGGACUUAAAUCCUUCCUGUGCUAUAAAUGUACUGCAGAACCAAUGUAAGCAGGGGAAAAAUAAGAGUUCAGUUCAAAUUUGCUUGCAAUCAACACUUUUUUUUUUUAAUGCUCUUUCUUUUUUUUUUUACUUUUGUUUUGAGGACGUUUAAAGAACAAUGAAGACUCAAGACUGUUCAUGGGGUCUGGGUUUCUGGCACUGCUGAAGGUUCUGCAGGGUAGCAACACUUCUGUAUUCAGAUGACUUGCUAACUCUGUCAUAGCCCUGGUAGAACACUAUUAAAAAAAGUUAUUUCUGAUGACAUAUUCCAGUGCAAUGGAGAUUCCUAUGUAUGUUAAUUUGCUUUGAGAAUUGCAUCAUCCCAAAGGAAGUAUAGCAAGAGAGAUUUAAAACAAAAGUGGUCUGUCUCCUGGCUGAGCUGUGAUACUUGGCAGUGAUACUGCUCUCCACUGAGUCCAACGUGCUGCCUUAACAUAAUGCUCUCCUCCCCAUUGUGUCAUACUGGAAGGAUGGCAUUUCUUGUCUCCCGAUCCCUAAAAGAUACUAGAUGAGAUAUUUAAGCUAUCAAUGUCCUUGAAUGAGGUUAUUAGUCCAUGUAGGACCUUGUACUGUGAGCAUUAUGGGAAUUUCAGGGGGACUGUUCAGGAAGCAAAAUGCUGAAAUGAAACCUCUCAUUACUGAUGCAAGUGUCUUGGAAACCUACUUAUAACUUGGUUAUAGGGCAUGCAUAUUUAUUCCUAUUUCUGUCCCAGUAUUUCAUCAACUACUGUCUUACAUUGAAUUGAGAGGGUGGGAUGCCUGGGAUGAAAAAGGAUUUCUUUGCCCAUUUCCAGGUUUCACACAACAAACACAGUGCUAAGACACUAAUUCUCAUGCCCCAAACCUGACAUAUGUCCCUUUGCUGCCUGGAAGGGACAUUUCUGUGUAUUGUCUGUGACAAUUUUUGGAUAAACACCACUGAUAAGUUCCUUCCCACUGCUGAAUUUCGUGAGAGAGCUGUGCUGAAGGUAUGACAUUCUGGUACUUCAUCUCCCUCUGCCUCCAAAUGUGGCUGCAAGGCUCCAAAAUACCAAGAAAGGAGCAUUUGUUUCAGAUGAAGGGUGAACAUGACAUCAGCUCAACUGUGGUUGCACAUGGGUUAUAGUUGAAGGGCUGAAUAUUUUUCAUUUCUGCUGCUGAAAGAGACUGAAUGAGUUGGUAAACACCUUGAAUGAAAAGAUUUUUAUUUUUUUUUAAUAAAAAUUAAUGAGGGAAUCUCAAGCACUGGUCCAAAAAAUCUUAUAUUGAAUUUUGAAGUUUUGCUUAUUGAAAAAAUCCUCAAAAAGUCACAGAGCCUUCUGUUGAAACCUAGUAGGAAAUGGAUAAAGAAAGAAGAAACUGCUUGAUAAAUAUUACCUUGUUUUAGGACAGUUCUGUGGAGAAUGCUAGUUAUGGUACACAGCUGAUAUUAAUGGUCAUAUUAUGACUAUGGGUAUAAAUGGGGAAAAUCUGUGCAGCACAAACUUCUACCUGUGGUUCUCUCCCUUGGAAGAAAGGGAGCUCCUACAAACCUGGGCAGAAAGCAGGAGCAAGGACCAUUCCCCUCAUUGCCCGGUAUGCCCAUGCUUUCUAUCUUAGCAUGGGUAAAAUGGCCAAAACACAAUUCCUGAGCAAUCUCUGUUGAUAUGUUAAGGCUACUGCAAUUACAUUACACCCUCCCUCCCACCCAUGAAGGAGUUGCUAAUUAAACUGCAAAACAAUUCUGCCUGGCAUUUAAAUAUUGUACUUGGGUGUCUACAUAGUUCAUUAUCCAGUCCUAUGAAUAUCCCAAAGCAUGGCUCUGAGGAAAGGCUCAGUGGAAAGUUUAAUCUUGUUGUGCUGAUUUGCUAACUACCUGUAAUCAGAGGUGCAUCCACUCCCUGGAUCAGCUGGGGACAGCACCUACCCCUGCAGCUCAGCCUUGUAGGGCUGCCGGCUAAGGAAUUUAUGGUCAGGUUCAAAGGAUUUCAGCGGGAUAAAUGAUCAAUUAAAAAUGGGAGUCAUUCACUCUGCUUUAGAUAUGCUUUCAAUAGAGAAGUUUAGAGGUGCUUAAGUUUAAAGCACGGUGAUUACACAUUUCUUUUAUGUUCAGUGGAACAAUCACUGCAGGAUCCAUUUACGUUUUCUCAGCAGAGAAAAAUGGCCCUUUCUAGAGGGCAGUUCUUCUGACCUCUCCCAGACGCUUAUUUUACGAUGAGAUCACUUCCCAUCUCCCCAUUGGCUAUAAAAGAGGCUGAGGUCUGAGCAGGUCUCAGACGUCUGACUUUUGGAUAUUGAAAUUAGGGUAGAGGGGCUGCACCCUGCCUAGCCCCUAAUUGGGCUGGGCAGCAAGCAGGCUCAGGUCUGGUGCCAGUUUCCUCUGAGGGUUUUGUUCCUGAGUGAGAGCUCUGGACACUUCAAUUCUCUUUGAUGCAUAAAUGAGAAAUACUCCACUUGACAUUCAGAACUGGGUGGAGGAAGGGAGACCAUGCUGUACCUAUUUAUUUAUGAGCACGUUGGGUGCUUGGGUAUUGUUGUCUUGGUGGGCAACAAUAAAAUAGGGCCGCCUUUAUGGUGUCACCCUUCAGAGCAGCUCCCACACCCUGGCUGAGCCAGGAGUACAGUUGGGGAAGCUCCCGUCUCUCAUCUGCUCCAUAAUCCACGUUUCAAGCAGAAGGGAUCGUGCUCUUCACCUGUAAGAGUGAGAGGAGCCGAGGGGAAGGCAGGAGCUCAGCAUGCUAACAAGCUGAGUGCUUUUGUUACUGAGGCAAUAAAAUCUCUUUGCACCUAUUAUUCCUUCUUGUGCCCAUUUAUAAGUGUUUCCACAAUGUGAGUAGUGUUGUUCAGAGCUCUCUGCGUCUGACUUGUUUUUUAAAUCUGUUAUACUAUUAUCUGGAGCAUAUUAACCCCUGGGUGCUUAGGUUUUCAAACGUAUAAGCAAUGCUAGAGGGAGGGAGAAGAAUAAAACAUCUAAUCCUACUUUAAAAAGAGCCAGAAGGUGAAAUAGCAGAAUAAUCAGUCUUUAACACAAUUUACCGUCACCUUCUCUGCAAGGUCCCUUUGCUGUGAUACUCAGAAUUAGGAGACAAACUCGGCUAAGUUACUGCAAUUCAGAAAACAUGCACACACGCACAGACAGACAAGUCAAUCAGAGCCUAGCAGUUCCCUAUGGUACAAUUGUUGUAAGCACAAACCGUUUUUAAACUGAUACCAGAAAUGAACUUUUAUUUCCAAUCAUAUUUACUGUAAAUUAGAAAUUACUCAGUAAAAUGCAAUCUGUUAGGCAAAAAAAAUGCAUCCUGUCACUUUCAAUUAACCAGCUAAAAGGUUGUUAAUGAAUAAAUAUUGACUUUUAGAGGAAAUGGUUCUUAACCAGCCUCGGAUCCGUGUGCACGAUAUUUGACAAAGGAUCGAUAUGGAGCUGGUACACUCCUGCUAACCUGGAGGUAACUGAUCUGAAUGCCCUGGCACAACGCUAAAUGACAAGUUGCACUCUGGCCCAGCUGUAGUGGUAGAACAAAUAGAUGCUGAGACAUGGAAAAGCUGCCUUUUGUUGAUGCAGCCCACUCUACUGAAAACGAACUUCUGAAACUGAACAGCCAACACUGUGAACCUGGAGGCAGAAAUCAGCCAUUUGAGCAUCCAGGCAGCAAAGACCUUGAACAGUAAUGAGAACUGAGACAGCUCUACUGCUUUGCAAAUCAGACUUCUUGUUUGCUACUGUAUGGGAACUGCUGAAUCAUGGCCUGAACCUCUGAUUGAUCACCUGAGGCAAGCAAUGAGUCAGCCAUGGGAGCACAGGUGAAGGCGAUUCACCUGUGCUGCUGGAAGAGGUGGAGUCUGGCUGCACCUCUCCUAGACCUAUUUAAGAGCUGACUAGCAGAAGGAAAGGGUCUCUUUCUGGAGAUCCCUCCUUUGGAGUUUUGCAGUAAGCUCAGGACAAGGUAUUUUUUAAAUUGUUGUAUUUAUUUUGUGUAAUAACCUGUUUAGCCAAACUCUGUGGUGUACUUCCUAAUUAUAACAUCUGUAUUUCCCUUGAUUAUACAGCUACCAAAAAUGUAGAUGCUGUGCAGAUUGACUCUUUGGGCUUCUAAGAGUUUCUCUGGCAGUCUGUAAUGUCUCCCCAAGAUGACAGACUAGGGUAUAUUCUGAUGUAUAUAAUGACUUGCACUGCACUCUUUGAUAACCGUGGUCCUGCUUUGGGGCAUCAAGUCUCAAAAUCCAGCAGAAAUGGUUGGGUUUUUGUAUCUUUUUGCAUCUAUAGUUAAGGGAGAGCUGGGCGGAUAAUAAGACCCCAUAGUGAAAGAGCAUGUUCAGGGUUCCAACUUUGUCCCUAGUUUGCACUUUUGCUGCUAGACUUAUAGCUCCUCUAGUUCUCAUUCAUAACCGUUUAGCUCAUUCACUGUGUUUAGCUGAGGGCACUGUGUGGAAGGAUCCUUAGUUAGCUGGGAGGCUCUGGCCUUGUUAAACUUCGAGCAACCUUAGUCACCUUAGUUAUAAUGGCUGGUGUGAUGUGUCAUGAGAUGCAAUCCCACAGCUGCUUUGUGUCUUCUUACAAGUAGCAGGAAUAUAUUUGUUGAUAUCAUAUAGCUGUAAUAUAGUGAUUUCAUUGAAUCAUAGGGUUGGAGGGAACCUUAAAGAUCAUCUCUUUCCAACCCCCUGCUGUCACUGAAAGGUAUUGGAGCUUCUUGAGAUGACCGUGGCUUUAAGCGCGUCCCUUCUCAGUCUCUGUCUCCUGUUCUAUCUUCUGUAUGUACGAAAUUAGAAGGUGUUUGUUUCAAUGCUUAAGCACUUCCAGUUGUUCCUAAAUCAAAAAAUAUACCUUUCAACCUCUCACUCCUAAACACAGAGUGAUCGUGUUUGAAACAUGACAGCUGCCAUCAGCUGGGAUCUUAAAGAGUUAGGUGUUUUUACACAUGUUGAAUUUUCAAGUAUUUUUCUUGCUUGAAUGGAAACACAAUUGUCUCUGGCUCCCUGUGCUGAAGAUGAUCAAGAUAAUGAAGUUUACAGAUGCUUUGCUGCUCUGGCAUCUAAAUGGAAAUGAGUCCAUCAGCUGGGACACCUCAGGAGACCAUCAGCAAGAUUGCUGUUUGAACUAAGCCAGUUGCUUUGGUGGUUAAAGGAGAUCUUCUGGAGAGGUGCUAGCCCAGUCUUAGCUGGGCAGGACUGUGUUUCCACAAUGUGAGUAGUGUUGUUCAGAGCUCUCUGCGUCUGACUUUUAUUCUCAGUAAUGUGCUGAUCACUCUGAUGUGCUGGGUUUGACUGAUUUUGUUACGUGAGGGCUCCAGGUUUUUUCCAGUUGCUGUAGUGGUACUUUUGUUGUAGUGAGAGAAGACAAAGUCAUCUUGUGGUUUCAGACUUUUUGUGCCUUUCUUUUUACCCAUCCAUGGUUCAUUUUUACCUUUGACCAGAAAAGCAUGGUCAGGUUUGUGUUGGGCCAUUCAACAGCUUUGGGUUCCAGCAUGUUCCAAAAGCAUGUUAGUGAGUUGCUGUGCCCAACCCAACAAGACCCAUUUCUCUGAAGAACUAUUUAGCACACUUCCAAUGGUUCAGCUAUGGGAUAGUGCUUUCAUCUAGUGCUUUAUGAAGGGCAUUUCAUUUGUUUUUUUAUACAUAUAUUUCAUAUAUUUUGUAGGGCAUGUUGAAUGAAGGACCUUGAAGGCUUCUUGCCCAGGAAGGGUGUUGUGAUGCAGCUCUAGAAUUUUCUUCAUAGGAGUGUAGCUCUAAUGCAGGGGAAUAACUUCUGUGCUGUGAUGCUCUCUCUCCAAUUGUUCUAAUUUUUGCUCUUCCGAUGCACCUAGAUUCCUCUCAUGUUCCCAUCUGUGUGAUAAGUAAUGCAGCACAAAUUAUGGAACUGGAUAUUAUUUGGUGCGUCAACAACAGUAAAAGCUAACAGCAUUGCACAGGGACUAAUAAAGCUGAGAUAAGAACUGCUGGGCUUUUCUCUUCUUCAUUGGCAGUUAAAUGUGAUUUCUAUUAUCUCACUGUUUGCUUUAAUGUUAUAUGGAACCUGUCAAAGCUCCAUAGUCUCACUGCUCAACGUUCAACUAGAAAAAAAAGACUCCGUAAAUUACAGUAACUUUUGCUUCUGAAAGGUAUGUAAAACUAUUCCAUCUAAUUCAUGGCUCCCUUUUAUCAUAAGUGAUAGUGGAAAUGCAAAAGAUUAACAAGGUCAGACGAGUUUGGGAUAUCAGGCCAAAUCUGUAUAUCUUCUGGAUUUUACUGUAUUCUCACUAGAUCUGCUGCAGCCUGCAUCAACUUCUCACGUUCUCCAUCAUCAUCAUCUUCCAUAAAUGCCUUUGAUUUGGCAGCCUGCUACCAAAGCUGCAAAAGUCCGUUGUGUGGCAGACAGGAUGUGACUUAUGGGAUGUCAAGUCUUGUGAACCUGUACAUUCAGACUAUUUCCUUGUGUCUCUGUGUAGACUGUGAUGACAGACAGGUAUCUUGUAGAAUAAUUGAAAGGAUCAUUAACCAGUAUGAAGUGCCCUAAUUAUUUCAGGCAUAGUCUCAUGCUCGUUCUUCCUCUUCUGGAGUUCCCCCAUGUGCAGCUCAAGUGACUAUAAAGUGACUGUGCGUAGUGAGUAGGACCUGACAUAUGUCAUAAGGCAUUUUGAGGCAGCAGAAACUUCAGGUGCCUUUGUUCUACCCAUGGGGAGAUAUCCUCAUAAUCAACAUUUGCAUGGUGGCGUCACUGCAUGGCUUUUCUUCUGUCUAGUCAGAUUUUACUCAGUGGCAUUGACUUAGAGGAUGGUGUUUGGUAACAGAGCUGAGUCCUUGGUGGGAGUCUGAAGUUCACUGUGUGGAGGUUGUAAAACAGCCGGAACAGGACAUGAGUUUAUAAGGUAUAUGUGAUAUAGGAAGGAGACUUGAUCUCUUUGGUAAGGAUCCAAUUUUUCUGUAUGAUCACAUUUCUCCAGCUGGCAAUUUGUAGAUUGAUUGAAAUAUCAGGGAUGUAAUGAAAUUCGUGCAGCACUCAUUGCUCAUCCUGUGCCAAAGUCCUCAUCACCCUGGUUCUGUUAUCAAUAAAAGAUGAUAACACUGUUACUUAAUAUUCACAUCACAAAAUAAAUGAGGAGAGAUGGGGCCGUGUUGUGCUACAUACUGCAUAAAGACACAAAAUUGCAUCUCCUGCCCCAGGGGAUUUACAAGAUGUGUAAGACAUGCAGGGCAUGGAAAAGUUUGCUGGCUUGGGAGGGAGAAUCUCCAUGGCAAACCAUGGAUUGUCCCACUUGUGGGCACUGCCCUCAGCUCCCUACAUCAGGAGAGCAACCUUCAGAAAUUUCAAUUAUUUUUAUGGGAAUUGUUGACAAGGGCAAUGGGACGGACAUAGCAGGUUGGGUCUGGUCCUGGAACAAAACAGAAUGCCCACAGUUCUGGUGUGUUAAAGCCCUUUGAAAGAAAAUGACAA